rnacentral:lncRNA from 1 species
UUCCCCUUUCCCAGAGGCUGUGACAAUUCUGUCUUUGUUCCCAGUGAAGUAAAUGGUAGAGAAACCGAGGCUGUUCACGUUACACUCGGUCAAGAAGUCCUCUGGAACCCGGGGAAGGCUUGAGGCUCAGCAGCAAUGGAGGCAGCACUUGGCCAACGGAUGAGUCAUUGUCCAACGAGUACACAUUCAGCGCCUGCGACUUCCAGCAACGUGGGAGGACGUCGCAUGGAAGGAAAAGCAAGUCCUCUUUCUUGUAAACCAGUUAAAUCCAAGAAGAAGCCCUGUGUGGCUGUGGCGGCUUGGGCCACCUCCUGCCCUCCCGUCCCCCACUCCGGGGUGAGCCUAGGUGCUCUGAGUAUGGGAGCAACGAGCACCCAGCCAGGAGGGGUGAUGGGCAGAUGCACAGGUGUCCUGCCCACUGAUCCAAGUGGUCUGUCCCUCCUCAGCUACACAGGCUGCGGCCACGGGACUCCCAUAAACGCUGCCCCUGCCCACGUCACACACCAUUUGCCAGGAAGUGUUAUAGAAACAGCAGUGAACCAGGAGGCAGGAGCCCAGUAGCAGGGGGCUGCCCCUGACUAGCCCCUCCUCUUCCGGGCUCCAUCUCCCCACCUGCACAAUGGAC